rnacentral:sRNA from 1 species
CAAUUAUUGAGAACUAGUGGCCAGAAUCUUAAGUAUACUUGUCCUUAAUGUAAUAUAUCUUUCACUGAGAAAGUCUUCGAGGAAAUUAUUGUAAAAACUAUCACUUUGGCUAUUUGUGUUUUCUUUUGUGCAGAAUAGAUACCACAAGAGUUGAGUUUACCAUCCCACUGAGGGAGAACUGGGCGCUGCCAUUCUUUGCAAUUCAGAUAGCAGCAAUUACAUAUUUCCUGAGACCAAACUUACAGCCUCUUUCUGAAAGGCUGACACUUCUUGCCAUUUUCAUAUCAACUUUUCUCUUUAGUCUGACAUGGCAAUUUAAUCAAUUUAUGAUGCUGAUGCAAGCAUUAGUGCUGUUCACACUGGACUCCCUGGACAUGCUGCCAGCAGUGAAGGCGACAUGGCUGUAUGGAAUACAGAUAACAAGUUUACUCCUGGUCUGCAUUCUUCAGUUUUUUAAUUCCAUGAUUCUUGGAUCACUACUUAUCAGUUUUAACCUUUCAGUAUUCAUUGCAAGAAAACUUCAGAAAAAUCUGAAAACUGGAAGCUUCCUUAAUAGGCUUGGGAAACUUUUGUUACAUUUAUUUAUGGUUUUAUGUUUGACACUUUUUCUCAACAACAUAAUUAAGAAAAUUCUUAACCUGAAGUCAGAUGAACACAUAUUUAAAUUUCUGAAGGCAAAAUUUGGGCUUGGAGCAACAAGGGAUUUUGAUGCAAAUCUCUAUCUGUGUGAAGAAGCUUUUGGCCUCCUGCCUUUUAAUACAUUUGGAAGGCUUUCAGAUACUCUGCUUUUUUAUGCUUACAUAUUCGUUCUGUCCAUCACAGUGAUUGUAGCAUUCGUUGUUGCCUUUCAUAAUCUCAGUGAUUCUACAAAUCAACAAUCCG